CACCCUCCAUUGCAGACGCUUGCUUAGAGCAGCUUGCAGACCAGCUUUCCAUCUACAAACUGGUGUGCGACCCCACUGCUGCCCUGCCUGCCGAGAGCUUUUCCAUUACAGGAACCACUGUCACGCAUUGGAUACAGACGAGAACUUAAAACUGUCGAAGUGGAACUGAAGGAACUGCUCUCUUUGGUCAAACUAAUGGUUCUGUUAGUCCACUGUUGUCUUUGGUAAUGACUAGUCCCAGAAGACAUCUGAAUGAGGAAACCACCAGGAAAUGCACAGCUAGUCAAGGUAGUAAUUAAAGUAGCCAUUAGCCUUGGGCAACAAA